rnacentral:rRNA from 1 species
GCGGCGUACGGGUGCGUAACACGUGUGCAACCUACCUUUAUCAGGGGAAUAGCCUUUCGAAAGGAAGAUUAAUACUCCAUAAUAUAUUGAAUGGCAUCAUUUAAUAUUGAAAACUCCGGUGGAUAGAGAUGGGCACGCGCAAGAUUAGAUAGUUGGUGAGGUAACGGCUCACCAAGUCAAUGAUCUUUAGGGGUCCUGAGAGGGAGAUCCCCCACACUGGUACUGAGACACGGACCAGACUCCUACGGGAGGCAGCAGUGAGGAAUAUUGGACAAUGGGUGAGAGCCUGAUCCAGCCAUCCCGCGUGAAGGAUUAAGGUCCUAUGGAUUGUAAACUUCUUUUGUACAGGGAUAAACCUAGAUACGUGUAUCUAGCUGAAGGUACUGUACGAAUAAGCACCGGCUAACUCCGUGCCAGCAGCCGCGGUAAUACGGAGGGUGCAAGCGUUAUCCGGAUUUAUUGGGUUUAAAGGGUCCGCAGGCGGACCGAUAAGUCAGUGGUGAAAUCUCAUAGCUUAACUAUGAAACUGCCAUUGAUACUGUCGGUCUUGAGUAAAUUAGAGGUAGCUGGAAUAAGUAGUGUAGCGGUGAAAUGCAUAGAUAUUACUUAGAACACCAAUUGCGAAGGCAGGUUACCAUGAUUUAACUGACGCUGAGGGACGAAAGCGUGGGUAGCGAACAGGAUUAGAUACCCUGGUAGUCCACGCCGUAAACGAUGCUAACUCGUUUUUGGGGCGCAAGCCUCAGAGACCAAGCGAAAGUGAUAAGUUAGCCACCUGGGGAGUACGUUCGCAAGAAUGAAACUCAAAGGAAUUGACGGGGGCCCGCACAAGCGGUGGAUUAUGUGGUUUAAUUCGAUGAUACGCGAGGAACCUUACCAAGGCUUAAAUGGGAAAUGACAGGCUUAGAAAUAGGCUCUUCUUCGGACAUUUUUCAAGGUGCUGCAUGGUUGUCGUCAGCUCGUGCCGUGAGGUGUUAGGUUAAGUCCUGCAACGAGCGCAACCCCUGUCACUAGUUGCUAACAUUAAGUUGAGGACUCUAGUGAGACUGCCUACGCAAGUAG